rnacentral:rRNA from 1 species
ACUCAAAUGAAUUGACGGGGACCCGCACAAGCAGCGGAGCGUGUGGUUUAAUUCGAUGUAACGCGAAGAACCUUACCUGGGCUUGACAUGGCAUCGCAACCUCUUGAAAGAGAGGCCUCCUUCGGGACGGUGUCACAGAUGUUGCAUGGCUGUCGUCAGCUCGUGUCGUGAGAUGUUGGGUUAAGUCCCGCAACGAGCGCAACCCUUGUUUCUAGUUGCAUAUCUAGAGAGACUGCCGCAGAUAAAGCGGAGGAAGGUGGGGAUGACGUCAAGUCAGCAUGACUCUUACGUCCAGGGCUACACACACGCUACAAUGGACAGUACAAAGAGAAGCCAACCCGCGAGGGUGAGCAGACCUCCAAAAGCUGUCCUCAGUUCAGAUUGCACUCUGCAACUCGAGUGCAUGAAGUCGGAGUUGCUAGUAACCGCGUGUCAGCAUAGCGCGGUGAAUAUGUUCCCGGGUCUUGUACACACCGCCCGU